AGAAAUUCGAUUCCGUAAGUAGCGGCGAGCGAACGCGGAUUAGCCCAAACCAAUAAAGUUUUCUUUAUUGGGGUUGCGGACAUAUCAUAACGAAGAGGUAUCGUAAUUGAAGAGGUUUGGAAAGACCCACCACAGAAGGUAAUAGUCCUGUAUGUUAAACGAGAAGACUUCAGAUAUGAUCCAGAGUACCACGGGACACGUGAAACCCUGUGGGAAGCAGGAGGGACCACCCUCCAAGGCUAAAUACUACCUAGUGACCGAUAGCGUAUAGUACCGUGAGGGAAAGGUGAAAAGAACCCCGGGAGGGGAGUGAAAUAGAACCUGAAACCCUGCACUUACAAGCUGUGGAAGCACAUUUCUUGUGUGACCGCGUACUUUUUGUAGAACGGGCCAACGAGUUACGUUAAGUAGCAAGGUUAAGCACUUAAGGUGCGGAGCCGUAGCGAAAGCGAGUUUUAACUGAGCGUUCAGUUACUUGACGUAGACCCGAAACCGGGCGAUCUACCCAUGAGCAGGAUGAAGCGAAAGUAAAAUUUCGUGGAGGUCCGAACCCACGAGCGUUGAAAAGCUCGGGGAUGACUUGUGGGUAGCGGUGAAAUUCCAAUCGAGCCCGGAGAUAGCUGGUUCU
rnacentral:rRNA from 1 species